rnacentral:rRNA from 1 species
UACGGGGGGAGCAAGCGUUGUUCGGAUUUACUGGGCGUAAAGGGCGCGUAGGCGGCCAGCACAAGUCAGUUGUGAAAUCUCCGGGCUUAACUCGGAAAGGUCAACUGAUACUGUGCGGCUAGAGUGCAGAAGGGGCAACUGGAAUUCUCGGUGUAGCGGUGAAAUGCGUAGAUAUCUGGAGGAACACCGGUGGCGAAGGCGGCAUCCUGGACCAACACUGACACUGAGGAGCGAAAGCCAGGGGAGCAAACGGG